UCUCACAACUUUCUCCCUGGUCGCCCGCUGCUGGCCUGCUACACCAACCCGCACGAGACGUCUCUCGUCUCUGCUCUGCCGCCGGCGAGAAGGGUUGCGUCGCGCGGUCCCGCACGCCACCCUCGGCCGGCAUGGUCCACUGGGAUCACUCCGGCGUCCGGCCAUCUGUGCGGCCUUGCCCACCCCACCCGCCGCCGCCGCCGUCCACUUGCGGACAAAACUUCCCCAAACUUGGGCAUUUCAGAUGGAUAUACUGGCAAACAAAACUGCAUAGUAAUACUCACCACCCAACAGUACCGAGAACUAGAAGUCCAUCAUAUCGGUAAUCACUACUACCAUCCUAUACCAUCAUUAGUAGCAGUACUAUAUGUUAAACAGCCAGGGACUUACUGUAGUGCUCUGUCGGUAGAGCAUCAUCAUAAAUCGGUCAAGCCUUCUUAGUCCAUUCAUCUGCCACAACAUUGGUUCACUGCUACGACCAAAUUAUGUGUUGAUUUGUCAAACCGCACACAACCGCACCUCUACUUCUUUAAUUGUGGAUUGUGAUUAAGUUGUACUACCCGCAAAAAAAAAAGUUGUACUGCACAUUAGCUCCAAGUCUACUGAAACAAUGCCCAACCGCCCAUUCUUGUUUAUUUGUUGCAUCACAUUAUCGAUGCGAGGACAGAUAAUGGUACGAUUAGAACCAAGUCAUUAAUUCAUUACGAUGAAAGAGCAUAGAAGACAAUAAUGCGAUAAUAGCUAACAAA